CUGGCAGACACCAUUGGAGUUCUUCCCCUGGCCUGUUAGUGCAGGGGUCUGCCCCACCCACAAGAACACUGACAGCUAGGCCAGGCAGCCCAAGGCAGUUCAGCCAGGGCUGUCCCUAGGGACUGGCUCCACCCAAUACUGAACUGUCACCAAGCAAGAGCAGCUCGUUGUUUGGACUGUGUUCCACACUUGGCUAUCUUGGAGGUUGAUAUCACCAAUAUUCAGAGGUCCAGGAAGAAGCCACCUGUCAGAUUUAAGAAAAUCCAGCAAAGUGUUGCUACUAUGGUUUUUCCUGGGUGCCUGCAGGUAGACCUAAUUAGAGGAUAGAAUGUAACUUUGCAUGGGAAUUGAAGAAAUCUUGAUCACAAAUAUCGGGGACCAGUGGGACCUAUGACAGUGGUAUGGCAAUUGUACAGCAAGCCUAAUGGCCUUUCCUGCUUAAGAUGGUCAACUUUAGGCAAUCUUCUGCAGGUAGGCUCAGCCUUCCUAUCACUCUUUUAGUGUAUCCUUCUUGCUCACAAGAACCUCAUUCUUUUAUUAACUUUCCUACUCAUAUCUCUGGGCUCUUAUUCCUGAUUCUUCACUCACCUCCCUCUCCAGCAUGCUCCUCCCUUCAUGUUUUCCUGUCUGGACCACACAUCCACCGCCAACUUUCAGAGACUUCUCUCCUCACAGCUGCUCAUCUCACUGGCAGGAUUGGCUUGGCUCUGUGCACAGGAAAUAUCUUACUAACUCCUUCUUUACCAAAGCUGAGACACCUAUCCAUCAGCAUCUUCGGACUUGGUUGCCAAAUUUCUUCUUCCACUUUCCUUCAUUCUCCUUCAGAUUAUACUCGCAUGGUUUUUCUAGUGAGUCAUUCUUUACUGACCUCUGUAAAGAGUGGAGAGAUUAACACAGGAAUUAACUUACUUGGCAUUGUUUUCCUCGCCUUUCUCCAGUGAAUUCUUGAGCAUGGAGGCAUCUUAGUUUUUCCAGCACUGCCAUCUAGGCCUCCUUCCCAUCCAAAAACAAAGGGGAGAGAAGAAAAACAAAAAUGACCAAGAUAAUUCCUGGGAGUUGUAGAGAUUGAGAAAAUUAAGGCCUCACAUGGAAUUGUUGGUUUUGAUCCUUUAAUGGGAUAGUAAGUCUCCAGAAGAGUUUCUCUGAGGUCAUUUGGGUUUUAAUGAGACGAAAAAUAAUCAGACACUGAAAUUGAUGCCAUUUUCAUAAAUAAAGAAUAGAAAGCAUUUUUGGCUCUGAUCAUUAACAAAUAGACAGAUUGACUCUCCUUUGUUGUAAAGCUAAGGACCUUCCUACUUCUCAUUCAAAAUCUUUUCUUUAAUUACUUUUGCCUCAACCCUUUUAUAGCUAUUUUUCUCUAUACUCUGUAUUAGACAUUAAAUAAAUCUAUUUCAGUCUCUUAACUAAGACUUAUAGUAAAACGAAUUUAUUUCUUAUUAGUCUGUUCCUUGAUUUAUAGUAUAGUGUUAGAAGGGUAACCUGUAUGGUGGGUCAUUUGCUACAAGUUCAUCUGGA
rnacentral:lncRNA from 1 species